UGAAAACUUAACAGGCAUUUCUUCUUCUUGUGUACACCCGACCACAUCGCCACCACUGAAUGAAGCAGCAUCGACACACUUAACAGAUACUAAAGGAGUACAGAUGUACGUCUAUUUUUCAGUUCAUCUUGAAGUUAUUCUUGUAAUGUGCUUAGAGUUCCUAAUGGAUACUUAAAGAUUACAUAUGUGCGUGAGUUUUCCAGUUCAAUUCAAAUAAUUCUUGAAAUGCUCUCUGAGCGCUUAAUGGAUGUUUAAGAUAUACAGAUGCACGUAGAUUCUUUGGUUAAUCUUACUGGUUAAGUCUGCUUAUAUCGAUGCUUCUUAAACCAUAGUCCGUGAUCCAUUGAUGGGUCAUGCAGAAAAAUAGUGGAAUAACGAAAUCUUCACAUCGCAUUUAUUAAGGCUGUUACUGAGUGGAUUAGCUGGAAUAAUCACUAUUAUUCCAUUUCAUAAACACUAUCUUAUGACUGAUGAGACUUUAAGAUUUCUUUCUGCUGAAGACUGCAGAGAACAGUUCGAGGAUUAUUUCGAUGAUGGCAUGUGACCUGCAGAAGCAACCAAAUACUACAAAGAAAUUCUGGAGAUGAAAUCAGAUUUCCAGCCAAGUGAUCUAGCAAAUAGUAAGAUUAAUACUACUCAAAGAACUAUUGAAUAUUUGUAUUAAAAAUGGCGGCUUCUUCAUCUGGGAUUUCAAAAUGGCAAUGAUUGAAAAAUUGAAGGAAAAAAUAACAACUUAUGCAAAUUACAAUAUAGCAGUUGAUUAUGAAGAAACUCUUUUUGUUCUUGCAAUUCUGACCCCAAAUAUAAAAAGAUCUUACUGCUUACCAACAUCGCAAGAGACAAUUUUUAUUGAUUCCACAAGUUCCUGCAAUUCAGAAAGUCAUUCUGUGAUAUUCAUGCUCGGAUCCUGUACUACCGGAGCAGUACAUCUUCAUCACUAAAGGUCAAACAGAGGAUCCUUAUAAACAAGGCUUUACUUUAGUUUUGAAUAUUUGAAAAUAAUCAGUUUUCCAUCAUAAAGGGAAUCCUACAACUUUCAUUACAGAUAAUUCAGAAACUGAAAUUUCUGCCUUAAAGAAAAUUCGGCCUGAAAGUCAGCAUUACCUUUGCAUUUUUCAUACGGGACAGGCUGUUUGGAGAUGGCUUUAGAAAUCUAAAAAUGGAAUCUCAAAUAAUUAUAGAAAACAACUCAUGUCUCAGUUUCAGAAAAUAAUGGAUGCUGAGACACCAGCUUGGGCAGAACAAGCAUGUUUUAAUGCAAUUGGCUAUACUGGUCUUUAUAUUCCAACUUUUCCAUAAUGGAAUAAUUACUUGUUGAAACAUUGGAGUAGAAAAGAAUUGUUGUAUUUUGCUUUUUGAGAUGAAACCAUCAGAGGUCACAAAACCAAUGACUUUCCAGAAAUGGUCAUGAGAAUAUUUAAAGAUGAAGUUCUAUCAUGAGUAAAGGUAAAUAGUUACCUUGGUAGAUUUCUGUUCAACCAAGCUGAAAAAUUACUAUAGAAGAUAAGAGUUUGCUAAUUAGCGAAAUGCUUCACCAAAGUUUUUUCUUGAAAAAAUGAAGAAAAUAGCAUUGAACAUCAAACUAGAACAUAUUAAAAAAGUGAAAUCUAAUGAAUGUCUCUGUUUUCUGUUUAGUGUGGUAAAGAAGUUUAUUCUGUUGAUGUUUUAAGUGCUUGCUGUUCUUGCUCUUCUGGAAGGUUAGAGAAGAUUUGCAAACAUCUGUUCGCUGUUUAUUAUUAUCACAAUGUUUAUGGUAAAAACUUCCUUCCAGUUGAAGCGAAAGAGAAACAACAAAUAUCUUAUUUGGUACUUGGAGAGAAAGCUCUAUCAAUUUAUUUUUUACCAACCAUUUCAACUGGAUGUAUGAAAUUAAAUUAAUUAAUAGGAAUAAUGAAUCUCGGUAGAAUCCCUACAUCACUUCUGUCUUCAUGCUACAGUGAGUCAUUCUACUGAUAAUAACAUUUAUUCAUGCAGCGAUAAAAAUUCACGUAAGAAAGAAUUACAUGAAAAAUUGAUGAAAUUAUUUAUAGUUGGUCUUGAAAAAUUUGAAUCUUCUGAAAAAGGAUAAUUAUCUUCGAAGUUAUUUCUGAAAAGCGAUAACAUGCAGUCGGAAAAUAAAAGGUUUAAGAGAGCGAGAGAGAGAGUGAGACUGUAUGUCCACCAGGAGAACACUUCCCGCCAAAUGUCUAUAUUUACGGCGGGCGUCAUAGAAACAGAUUUCGGUAGGGAAGAUCCAUUUCGAAUAGGAGGAAUCGGACGAAAGUCUCAGGGUUAUUUUUUCUUGGCGUCAGUUUAAAGCGAUAGAAAAAGCUGUUAUCAUUCAUCUUCGACAUAAAUCUGUUCCCAGUGUAUCAUUAUUGCUUUUUCUAUAA